AUUCCAAAUGCAAAGGAGAAAUUCAGUUUUUACGCGGAGUAUGCCUGUAAGAAGGGUUGGCUCCAAGCUUCUUUUGGGUCAUAUGUUGCAGAUGCAUCCUCAACCCCAGCUGCAGCCACUUGAGAUGAGCAUAUAUCUUCUGCUAGUUUCUCUCAUGUCUGUUAUUGCUCAGUACCUCUUUGCACUGUUUAAUCGUCUCUAUGCUUCAGAGAUGGAUAGAUAGAUAUGGGAUGUUUGAAUUCCUUCUGAUGUUUCAGUGGUCAUCUGAUGGAGAUCCUUGUGACCCCAGCCAAUGUAUAAAG
rnacentral:misc_RNA from 1 species